rnacentral:lncRNA from 1 species
CUUUCCCUUAGUUCCUUUCUUCCUUAUUUUCUUUGUCUUUUUUUUUUUAAUUUAAAAAAAUUUUAAAUUCUUUUACUUUUUAGACAGUUUCACUUUGUAGCCCAAACUGGUCUGGAACUCAAUGUUAUCUAUCCUCCUGUAUCGGACUCCCGUGCCCACUGGCUUCCUUCUCUUCCAUGCUCUGGUGGAAGAGCAUGUGGCAGACUUUGUUCACAUUAAGGCAGAAGCAGAGAGGAACAGGAACCAAGGGGCCUCAUUCCAUAUCCUUGGCUGUCAAGAACUUACUGUGUAGACCAGGCUGGACUCACAGCCUCUGCCUCUGUCUCCUGAGUGCUGGGUUUAAAGGCAUAUGCCACCACUGCCCGGAAAACUCCAUAUCCUCUUAAGACAGUGUCAUCAGCUGGAGACCAUGCAUUAAAGUAUGAGCCUUCAGGGGACAUUUCAGGUUCAAAUCAUGACUGAUGGACAAAGACCGGGAGGGCAGGCCUCCAUAUCUCCUCUAUAGAGUAGCACCUGAGCCUUCUAUGUAGCAGACUGGUUAUCUUCCUAGUGACACAGGAAAGGCUACACUGCCUGCCAAGUGCCUCCCCUGAGCAUUCUGAUUCAGUUAGUCUGGGGAUAGUAUCUUGACCUGUGGAUACUUCUAAAGUUCCCUGUGUUACAGGGAGCUCACCAGAGAUGAACACUCAGACACAGUGUUUAGCCAAUAGAAGGCCUUUAUUCCAACCAGCUGGGACCACACCCAAGUGUCCCAGGACCUGAGUUUAGCCUCGAAUGUUCAAGCCCUGCUUUUUGUUUUGUUUUGUUUUGUUUUUAAAGCAGAAAUUGUGUCCUGAUAUCUCACUCAGUUGGCAGCUGCAGGGGGGCUUAGCAGAAAUAAGCAGUUUAAAGGAGCUAAGUUAGCUAGGACAUCCUGACCUUUAGUUCCUAGAAUAGAGUUGGGUAAUUUUCCAUGGGAUUCUCCAUCAAGGAGAUAAGGGCCUAGUAAAAUCUGAAAUGACCUCAGCAAGAAAACAAGAUGGAGGGGCUGGAGAGGUGGCUCAGCGGUUAAGAGCACUGACUGCUCUUCCAGAGGUUCUGAGUUCAAUUCCCA